rnacentral:rRNA from 1 species
GAUGAACGCUGGCGGCGUGCCUAAUACAUGCAAGUCGAGCGAACGGACGAGAAGCUUGCUUCUCUGAUGUUAGCGGCGGACGGGUGAGUAAGACGUGGAUAACCUACCUAUAAGACUGGGAUAACUUCGGGAAACCGGAGCUAAUACCGGAUAAUAUUUUGAACCGCAUGGUUCAAAAGUGAAAGACGGUCUUGCUGUCACUUAUAGAUGGAUCCGCGCUGCAUUAGCUAGUUGGUAAGGUAACGGCUUACCAAGGCAACGAUGCAUAGCCGACCUGAGAGGGUGAUCGGCCACACUGGAACUGAGACACGGUCCAGACUCCUACGGGAGGCAGCAGUAGGGAAUCUUCCGCAAUGGGCGAAAGCCUGACGGAGCAACGCCGCGUGAGUGAUGAAGGUCUUCGGAUCGUAAAACUCUGUUAUUAGGGAAGAACAUAUGUGUAAGUAACUGUGCACAUCUUGACGGUACCUAAUCAGAAAGCCACGGCUAACUACGUG